rnacentral:rRNA from 1 species
UACGUAGGUGGCAAGCGUUACUCGGAAUCACUAGGCGUAAAGCGCAGGUAGGCGGUUCGGUAAGUCCUUUGUGAAAGCUCCCGGCUUAACUGGGAGAGGCCCAGGGAAACUACCGGGCUAGAGUGUGGUAGGGGAAACUGGAAUUCCUGGUGUAGCGGUGAAAUGCGUAGAUAUCAGGAGGAACACCUAUGGCGAAAGCAGCUCGCUGGGACGUGACUGACGCUGAGACGCGAAAGCGUGGGGAGCAAACAGG